UGGGGAAUCUUGCGCAAUGGGCGAAAGCCUGACGCAGCGACGCCGCGUGCGGGAAGAAGGUCUUCGGUUUGUAAACCGCUUUCAGCAGGGACGAAUCUGACGGUACCUGCAGAAGAAGGACCGGCCAACUACGUGCCAGCAGCCGCGGUAACACGUAGGGUCCAAGCGUUGUCCGGAAUUAUUGGGCGUAAAGAGCUCGUAGGCGGUUUGGUAAGUCGGGUGUGAAAACUCCGAGCUCAACUCGGAGACGCCACCCGAUACUGCCAUGACUAGAGUCCGGUAGGGGAGCGUGGAAUUCCUGGUGUAGCGGUGGAAUGCGCAGAUAUCAGGAGGAACACCGAUGGCGAAGGCAGCGCUCUGGGCCGGUACUGACGCUGAGGAGCGAAAGCGUGGGGAGCGAACAGGAUUAGAUACCCCUGUAGUCC
rnacentral:rRNA from 1 species